rnacentral:lncRNA from 1 species
UUUUUGCAUCUUUUAAAUCAGGGGUCCGUGGGCCAGAUGGGGCCUGCAAGCAUGAAGCAUUUGGCCCAUGAGGUUGUUUGAACUAUAAUGAAGGAUAAUGAAAAAAAAAUGAAAAAUUGAAGCUUCUCUUUUUUUUUUUAUUUCUGCCCGUUCUCGUUUUUCCGCCUGUUCUUGGGCUCCCUAUCUCCUUAUAAUGGUAGUUAUUGGACCGCGACCCUAACCAUACAGGUUCGAGGAGUAGUUUUUUUUUAUUUAUUUACUUUUUCCUUUUUUCUUUUCUUUACCUGCUUUCAGAUCAACUGUUCUGCAAUUGGGUUCAACAACCCUCUGGGCUGGAGAGCUACUAGUCUGUAGCACUCCAUCCCACUACACUUUCUUUUCCAAAACAGAUAUGUUUUUUGUGGCCUGCUACGUAAUGGCUUGGAAAAUAUCUGGCCCAUAGCCAAAUGAAUUAAUUAAUUGCCGACCCCUGUUUUAAAUGUUCCUGUGUUGCUGGGAUUAACCACACAGCUCCAGUUUAGAACUAAACAAGCUGAAUUUGGAAAUACAUCUACAUUUAAGGUAUAUGACUAUAUAAAUCAGAUCUGAUACUAUAACUGAUCAAAUUACUAAUCAGAUUCUUGAGUGUCAGUCUGAAGAGUGUGUACGUGUGUGUGUGUGUGUGUGUGUAUGUCCUCUGAAGAAGAAGGAGGAGGAGUGGAGGAGUCAUGUGGCGAAACUAGCAUCUGAACGCGAGUCUCUACGUGACAGAUUACACAGGCUACGUGAAUUCAGGGACUUUCAGAAAAAGGUGCUGAUACAGGACCUGGGCCUGGAUCCAGACUCAUCCAAUGAGAAGCUGACAAAAAUCCUUAGGAGAUUGUAAUGGUGGUUAUUUGAAGAGACAGAAACACUGAAUGUAAAAUAUGCUGGAGGAAAACCUUUAAAAUAUGAGAUAUGUAGUGAACAGCUUUAUAGUUAAAGCAUUAAUCUAUUAUAUUUUACUGUGAAGAAAAUCAACGUUUUCAACUUUGCAACACCUGUUUGCCAUUCAAUGAGAUUUUAUUGCUGCUU